AUUGAACGCUGGCGGCAGGCCUAACACAUGCAAGUCGAGCGAGCGGCGGACGGGUGUGUAAUGUCUGGGAAACUGCCUGAUGGAGGGGGAUCACUACUGGAAACGGUAGCUAAUCCCGCAUAACAUCAGAUGUGCCCAGAGGGGAUUCGCUAGUAGGUGGGGUAAUGGCUCACCUAGGCGACGAUCCCUCGCUGGUCUGAGAGGAUGACCAGCCACACUGGAACUGAGACACGGUCCAGACUCCUACGGGAGGCAGCAGUGGGGAAUAUUGCACAAUGGGCGCAAGCCUGAUGCAGCCAUGCCGCGUGUAUGAAGAAGGCCUUCGGGUUGUAAAGCACUUUCAGCGAGGAGGCGUUACUCACAGAAGAAGCACCGGCUAACUCCGUGCCAGCAGCCGCGGUAAUAG
rnacentral:rRNA from 1 species